AUCAAUGUUGUUCCCUUACAAUUAAAUAUCUCCAUAAAUAGCAAAAAGACUAAUUCUAUAUCAAGCUCCUCUGAAGAAUGAAUUAUAAGAUCUAAAAAGAGUGAAAGAAUUAAUAUAAAUCAGUUGUCUGCAUACUUUUGUUAUCUAAGCCUUUAACUUUAACAUCGGAGUAAAUAGCAAAGAGAGAAGGCAGACCAUCAUUGCAAGGUUUUUCAAAGACUCUAGCAGUAAGUGAAAGACAUACAUAUAUCUACCAAUUUAUUAGCUGAAUUUCUAGUAAUUUUCACAAUUAAAUGUAAAACUCCAUUUGGUUCAACAUCACACUGAUAUCAUCAGUAUAGCCCCAUGAAAUGGAGAUAUCAGCAAGCUUUCUAAGGUCAUCAAUGGUUCUAGCUUAUCCACUCCUAUGCACAAUGGUCGAGCAAUAUCUAUAGUUUCCUGACUACCAAACUAACCAAAUAAAUAAAAAUGAAAUCAUUCAGAUAUUAACAACCAUUGAUAUAUUUUUUAAAUAGUAUUUUGAAAUAAAAGUACAUUGUCAUGAUCAAAUUGCAAAAACAGAGCAUUAUAGAUAUGAGAAACCUCCUCAGGCUCUGGUUUUAUAUCUAUUCCAAAAUGAGUCUCGAAUAGCAAACGAUUUUCUAUUGAGAGUUGAAUGCUUCUUCGUCCUUGACGAAGUUGAUAAUGAUGGUGACACUGUCUAAAAAAAAUCAAUUGAUGUUACAAAUGAUGACAAAGAAUGGUAAGGAAGCUUGGAUGAUGUCUGCUGGGCUUAGUAAUGGGGGCAGCGAGGAAAUAAAAGUAAGAGGGAAAUUAGGCUCUGGUAGAAUUAAGAGAGAGGGAGAUGGAGGACCCCUCUUACAAUAAUGAUUUUGUCUUUUAUAACAUAUUUAACGGAAAGGUAUAAAAUUUAGAUGAAAAGGCAUUACAACUUGAAGGAAGCAAAAUAUAGGGAAAAAGUUGUGUAUUUUUAAAAAUUCGAGGGUAAACUAAUUAUUUUUUAUAAAAUAGAAGGAUAAAAUCGUAAUUUUCCUUGAAAAUAAUUUAUUAGAUUUGUUUAUAUUUGGUAUGUACAUACAACAUACAAAAUAGUCUAUAAAUUGACUAAAUCAAAAAAUGUUUUUGACUUCCCAUAGGCAAAUAAAUAUUCCUAAUCCAUAAAAUUGCAAAUACCAGAAUCUUUUUGUUGUGGAAAAGUCCAUCAAAAUUUUUCAUUUUGCUUUGCUCAAAUAAAGAUGAAAAUGUAAAAGUGGGAGAAAUUAUUAAUUUUAUAUGGAAUGGAAGGUUUGAAAAAUUAAAUUCUACUAAAUUUUGUAAUAUAUUACUAUAUUAUUAUAUUAGCAAAAAUUUAUUAGAAGUAAUAUUAUAUGAAUAUAAUGCAAAUAAUGGAAUUGAAAAUAAAAUGUAGCAAACCAAAUCGAAAAGCAACCAUGAUAGACAAAAAAAUAGAUAACAAAAUGUCGAGGAUAAUGUGUUAUUUUGAAGAAUAAUCAAGUUAAACUAACCUCCAUAUCAAGCCAACAUACUUACAGAAAGGUCUACUUCAGCUUGGGGUCGUUUUGAAACAAUUUUCUUCAGGAAAAUGUUUGCUCGAGAAAAAAACCUCACACCAAGUGUCAACGCGGUUCUUGUUGACCCAAUCACAAAGGUAUGUUCCACGCUCAUCGCACCAUUUGACCAUUAGAUAUUCUCAAAAAUGACAAUAUGCUUUUUGCCAAUAUUUUGAGAGGAUAAUAGUUUUUUUUAGAGAGAAGAGAUGAUUAUAAUUGUAUAUGUCUUGG
rnacentral:lncRNA from 1 species